GGAAAGUGGUGGGGGACGAUCACCUUUUCCAAGGAAAGAAAAUCCAAGCAAAGUUACCUGUAAAACCCAGGCAGCUUUGGCUGUAUCUAUGGAGCUAUUUGCUACCUAAAAUCCGUUGCUGCCGCCUUCUCUACCACCUGUAUUUCCCCCUCUUCAUGGAUUUUCUUCUGUCUUCUGUCUCCUCCCUCUUGUUUUUCUUCUCCCUCCUUACCAACCCCUUUAAAUCCCCCACUUCCACGUACUAUUCUUUGCUUGCAAUCAAAGUUAGAGUGAUCGUUCUAUACAAAUCAAGAGAGAAAGAUGAGGUAGUGAGAAUUGUUCUCUCAAUUAUUUGCUCACCUCCCAGUCUUUCUGUCAUAUAUAUCAUCUCUUCAACUGUAAGUGUCUUAGUUUACACCUCCUGGUGUUUUAGCAAUGGCAUUUUCUCUGCUUGUUAAUUGCUCUUAAUCAAGUAAUCAUGAAUCGACCAAAUUUUCUUGAACACCAUGUCUUCUAACUCUAGUCUUUCAAAUUAAGGAGUCGCUUGAGAAAAGCAUCAUUUAUUCGUGUCACUAGUCAAUUGAAGCAUACGUCAUAGAGGUUAAUUAAGAUCACAUGGUGUCUAUGGCAAUGCAGGGCAUUUGUUAGAUUGUGUACUUUGUUUGCAGGUUGAGAGCACUUACUACUAUAGCAAGAGCUGCUUGGUCUGAAAGAAUGGCCUGCCUGGCUCCCUGAAUGCCAUCUAGGAAGCUUGUCAAAGAGUGUUGGCAACCUUUCUAUUUGGCAUGAGGGGAGUCGAGCAGGCCAAUUAACAACAGCUUACAGCUACCCUGUAUUGAACUCAUGAGGUACCAGCAAGUACAUUCCUAGCUAUAUAUACUAUAAUUUCCUCUGCAGCUGGUAGUGCUACCUAGUACUGAAAGAGCCUAACCUCUCAGGAGAUUGUUAUUGCGACUCCUGUGCGAUUCAUGAAUAAGUUUGGCAGUACUGUGCGUGGCUAUGAGAGAUGUGUGUCUGGGAAGAAGCCAUGUAUUGUUGUGGGCCCAUAACCAUUCAAAUAUCUACAACCAUUGAAAAGGAUCGAUGUAAACAAUCAAUCUUUGAACUCUUGUUUUUAACUGAUGAUUUGUAGCUCUCUUUAAUACAAGGGUCUGUUUCUGUAAUAUAUAUGGACGUCCUCUCUCCUUGUACGUAAUUCUUCGAUAGCCUCCUAAUUUACCCCAUCAAAGCUUCGAUCGAUAUAUGACAUGGCUUUUUAAAAGA